GGCUCAGGACGAACGCUGGCGGCGUGCUUAACACAUGCAAGUCUAGGUAGAACGCACCUUCGGGUGUUAUUAAACUGGCGAACGGGUGAGUAACGUGUAGGUAAUUUGCUUUCAAGAGGGGGAUAGGCCCGUGAAAACGGGACUAAAACCGCAUAAAGUUGUGUUACACAAGUAGCAUAAUGAAAGGUGGGGAUCUUCGGACCCAUCGCUUGAAGAUAAGCCUGCAUCUGAUUAGCUAGUUGGUGAGGUAACUGCUCACCAAGGCAUCGAUCAGUAGCUGUUCUAAGAGGAAGAUCAGCCACAUUGGGACUGAGAUACGGCCCAGACUCCUACGGGAGGCAGCAGUGAGGAAUUUUGCGCAAUGGGGGCAACCCUGACGCAGCAACGCCGCGUGACCGAUUGAAGCUUUUAGGAGUGUAAAGGUCUGUCGUGAAGGAAGAAAUGGUCUGAGAAUAAUACGUUUAGACUUUGACGGUACUUCACAAGCAAGCUCCGGCUAACUUCGUGCCAGCAGCCGCGGUAAUACGAGGGGAGCAAGCGUUGUCCGAAAUAACUGGGCGUAAAGGGUACGUAGGCCUUUUUACAAGUUUUCGGUGAAAGUCAUAGGCUCAACUUAUGAACUGCCGGAAAAACUGUAGAGAUUGAAUUCGGAAGGGGAAAGCGGAAUUCCUGGUGUAGCGGUGAAAUGCGUAGAUAUCAGGAGGAACACCAGUGGCGAAGGCGGCUUUCUGGUCCGAAAUUGACGCUGAGGUACUAAAGCGUGGGUAGCAAACAGGAUUAGAUACCCUGGUAGUCCACGCCCUAAACGAUGGAUACUUGGUGUCGGGAUGUUCGAUCGUCUCGGUGCCGUAGCUAACGUGUUAAGUAUCCCGCCUGGGGACUACGGUCGCAAGACAAAACUCAAAGGAAUUGACGGGGGCCCGCACCAGCGGUGGAACAUGUGGUUUAAUUCGAUGCAACGCGAAGAACCUUACCUGGGCUUGACAUAUAUAUGAAGUAUGUAAGAAAUUAUGUAUUCUGCUUGCUUUUGUAGGUAGCAUAUAUACAGGUGAUGCAUGGCUGUCGUCAGCUCGUGUCGUGAGAUGUAGGGUUAAGUCCCUUAACGAGCGCAACCCUUACUUUUAGUUGCCAUCAGGUAAUGCUGGGGACUCUAGAAGGACUGCCGAGGUUAACUCGGAGGAAGGUGGGGAUGACGUCAAGUCAGUAUGUCCCUUAUGUCCAGGGCUACACACGUGUUACAAUGGCCGGUACAGAGUGUUGCUAAGUCGUGAGACCAUGCUAAUCACUUAAAGCCGGUCCCAGUUCGGAUAGGAGUCUGCAAUUCGACUCCUUGAAGUUGGAAUCGCUAGUAAUCGCAGAACAGCAUGCUGCGGUGAAUACGUUCCCGGGCCUUGUACACACCGCCCGUCACGCCAUGGAAGUUGGGAGUGCCCGAAGUUGCUGUCUAUAUGGUGGAGGUAACUAAGGUAAGACCGAUGACUGGGGCGAAGUCGAAACAAGGUA
rnacentral:rRNA from 1 species